rnacentral:rRNA from 1 species
ACCUAUAAGACUGGGAUAACUUCGGGAAACCGGAGCUAAUACCGGAUAAUAUUUUGAACCGCAUGGUUCAAAAGUGAAAGACGGUCUUGCUGUCACUUAUAGAUGGAUCCGCGCUGCAUUAGCUAGUUGGUAAGGUAACGGCUUACCAAGGCAACGAUGCAUAGCCGACCUGAGAGGGUGAUCGGCCACACUGGAACUGAGACACGGUCCAGACUCCUACGGGAGGCAGCAGUAGGGAAUCUUCCGCAAUGGGCGAAAGCCUGACGGAGCAACGCCGCGUGAGUGAUGAAGGUCUUCGGAUCGUAAAACUCUGUUAUUAGGGAAGAA